AUGAAAUGCUAAUUGACCUGCGGGUCCCUAUGAAAUGAAAUGUGAGAUUGCCUUCGGGUCUUCUCAAAUGUACUAGAGCUUUCGAUUGAUCACCGAUUGCUUUUGAUGAAAUGAUGGUCAGAUUGGUCAACGUGGAUGGUGGCUGAGUGGUGCGCAGGUUGCCAAGUAAAAGAAAUUUUUAGGAAUCCAUAAUAAAUUUGUUAGGGCAUUUUAUGUUUCUCUUCAAUUCCAUUCAUGACGCUAUGUUUAUUUGAUUCAGUAUUUGAGUUUCAAUAAAUUAAGGUAUUAAAUUUUAAAUUUUA